UAGAUCAGUUGGAGAUGAUAUUAUAAUAAUGAGACCAAAUUCCCUAUAUCUUUUUGACUAAUUUAUAUAUAGGGAAUUUGGUCUCAUUAUUAUAAUAUCAUCUCCAACUGAUUG